rnacentral:rRNA from 1 species
AUACGGAGGGUGCGAGCGUUAAUCGGAAUUACUGGGCGUAAAGCGUACGUAGGCGGUUAUUUAAGUUAGAUGUGAAAGCCCUGGGCUUAACCUGGGAACGGCAUUUAAAACUGGGUAACUCGAGUUUGAUAGAGGAGAGUGGAAUUUCAGGUGUAGCGGUGAAAUGCGUAGAGAUCUGAAGGAACAUCAGUGGCGAAGGCGGCUCUCUGGAUUAAAACUGACGCUGAGGUACGAAAGCGUGGGUAGCAAACAGGAUUAGAUACCCGGGUAGUCC